CGAAUGCUGACAUAAGUAACGAUAAAGCGGGUGAAAAGCCCGCUCGCCGGAAGACCAAGGGUUCCUGUCCAACGUUAAUCGGGGCAGGGUGAGUCGACCCCUAAGGCGAGGCCGAAAGGCGUAGUCGAUGGGAAACAGGUUAAUAUUCCUGUACUUGGUGUUACUGCGAAGGGGGGACGGAGAAGGCUAUGUUGGCCGGGCGACGGUUGUCCCGGUUUAAGCGUGUAGGCUGGUUUUCCAGGCAAAUCCGGAAAAUCAAGGCUGAGGCGUGAUGACGAGGCACUACGGUGCUGAAGCAACAAAUGCCCUGCUUCCAGGAAAAGCCUCUAAGCAUCAGGUAACAUCAAAUCGUACCCCAAACCGACACAGGUGGUCAGGUAGAGAAUACCAAGGCGCUUGAGAGAACUCGGGUGAAGGAACUAGGCAAAAUGGUGCCGUAACUUCGGGAGAAGGCACGCUGAUAUGUAGGUGAAGUCCCUUGCGGAUGGAGCUGAAAUCAGUCGAAGAUACCAGCUGGCUGCAA
rnacentral:rRNA from 1 species